GACGAACGCUGGCGGCGUGCCUAAUACAUGCAAGUCGAGCGGACUUAAAAAGCUUGCUUUUUAAGUUAGCGGCGGACGGGUGAGUAACACGUGGGCAACCUGCCUGUAAGACUGGGAUAACUUCGGGAAACCGGCGCUAAUACCGGAUAAUCCUUUUCUACUCAUGUAGAAAAGCUGAAAGACGGUUUACGCUGUCACUUACAGAUGGGCCCGCGGCGCAUUAGCUAGUUGGUGAGGUAACGGCUCACCAAGGCGACGAUGCGUAGCCGACCUGAGAGGGUGAUCGGCCACACUGGGACUGAGACACGGCCCAGACUCCUACGGGAGGCAGCAGUAGGGAAUCUUCCGCAAUGGGCGAAAGUCUGACGGAGCAACGCCGCGUGAGUGAUGAAGGUUUUCGGAUCGUAAAACUCUGUUGUUAGGGAAGAACAAGUACGAGAGUAACUGCUCGUACCUUGACGGUACCUAACCAGAAAGCCACGGCUAACUACGUG
rnacentral:rRNA from 1 species